rnacentral:rRNA from 1 species
UGGGGAAUUUUGCGCAAUGGGGGAAACCCUGACGCAGCAACGCCGCGUGCGGGACGAAGGCCCUCGGGUCGUAAACCGCUUUCAGCAGGGAAGACCACGACGGUACCUGCAGAAGAAGCUCCGGCUAACUACGUGCCAGCAGCCGCGGUAAUACGUAGGGGGCGAGCGUUAUCCGGAUUCAUUGGGCGUAAAGCGCGCGUAGGCGGCCGCCUAAGCGGGACCUCUAACCCCGGGCUCAACCCCGGGCCGGGUCCCGGACUGGGCGGCUCGAGUGCGGUAGAGGAGAGCGGAAUUCCCGGUGUAGCGGUGGAAUGCGCAGAUAUCGGGAAGAACACCGAUGGCGAAGGCAGCUCUCUGGGCCGUCACUGACGCUGAGGCGCGAAAGCUGGGGGAGCGAACAGGAUUAGAUACCC